UGUGGGAGCGAGCCUGCUCGCGAUAGCGUCGGGUCAGUCAGCAUUGAUGUUGAAUGUGGUAUUGCCAUCGCGAGCAGGCUCGCUCCCACA
rnacentral:misc_RNA from 1 species